rnacentral:ncRNA from 1 species
AAUAAAUUUUUUAUGGUUUAAAAAUUUUAUUUUAAAUUUGUUUUACAUAUAAAUUUUAGUGUUAUAUAUUAAUUAUUUUAAUAAUAUUUAAUUUUUAUGUAGUAAUUAAUUUUAAAAAUUUAAGAAAUUAAGAUUUAGUAAUAUUUAAAUUAAUAACUAAUUUUGUGCCAGCAGUUGCGGUUAUACAAAAAUUAAAAUAAAAUUUUUUAGUUUUAAUAAUUAAUUAAAUAUGAAUAAUUUAAAUUUAAAAUUAUUAAGUGAAAUUUUAAUUUUAUAAAAAAUUAUUUUAUAAUUAUGAAAUUAGUAAAUUUUAUAAAAAACUAGGAUUAGAUACCCUAUUAUUAAAAACUUAAAUUUAAUAAUACUAAAAUAGUAGAUAUUUUUAUUGAAACUUAAAUAAUUUGGCGGUAUUUUAGUAUAUUUAGAGGAAUCUGUUUAAUAAUUGAUAAUCCACGAAUAAAUUUACUUAAUUUAUUAUUUUGUAUAUCGUUGUUAAAAAAAUAUUUUAAUAUAAUAAUAAUAUUUAAAAAUUUAAAUUAAAAAUUAAAUCAGAUCAAGAUGCAGAUUAUAAUUAAGAAUAUAAUGGAUUACAAUAAAUUUAUUUAAAUUGAAUUUUUAUAUGAAAUAAUAAAAUGAAAUUGGAUUUAAAUGUAAUUUUAUUUAAAUUAAUAAAAUGAUUAAUAAUUAAAAUAUGUACAUAUUGCCCGUCGCUUUCAUUUAUAAAUUGGAAUAAGUCGUAACAAAGUAGAGGUACUGGAAAGUGUUUCUAGAAAGAU